UACGUAGGGGGCAAGCGUUGUCCGGAUUUAUUGGGCGUAAAGAGCGUGUAGGCGGCUUUGCAAGUCCGUUGUGAAAACUGGAGGCUUAACCUCCAGACGUCGACGGAAACCGCGUGGCUAGAGUCCGGAAGAGGAGAGUGGAAUUCCUGGUGUAGCGGUGAAAUGCGCAGAUAUCAGGAAGAACACCAAUGGCGAAGGCAGCUCUCUGGGACGGUACUGACGCUGAGACGCGAAAGCGUGGGGAGCGAACAGG
rnacentral:rRNA from 1 species